rnacentral:rRNA from 1 species
AGAGUUUUAUCCUGGCUCAGGACGAACGCUGGCGGCGCGCCUAACACAUGCAAGUCGAACGAGCGAGAGAGAGCUUGCUUUCUCGAGCGAGUGGCGAACGGGUGAGUAACGCGUGAGGAACCUGCCUCAAAGAGGGGGACAACAGUUGGAAACGACUGCUAAUACCGCAUAAGCCCACAGCUCGGCAUCGAGCAGAGGGAAAAGGAGCAAUCCGCUUUGAGAUGGCCUCGCGUCCGAUUAGCUAGUUGGUGAGGUAACGGCCCACCAAGGCGACGAUCGGUAGCCGGACUGAGAGGUUGAACGGCCACAUUGGGACUGAGACACGGCCCAGACUCCUACGGGAGGCAGCAGUGGGGAAUAUUGCACAAUGGGGGAAACCCUGAUGCAGCGACGCCGCGUGGAGGAAGAAGGUCUUCGGAUUGUAAACUCCUGUUGUUGAGGAAGAUAAUGACGGUACUCAACAAGGAAGUGACAGCUAACUACGUGCCAGCAGCCGCGGUAAAACGUAGGUCACAAGCGUUGUCCGGAAUUACUGGGUGUAAAGGGAGCGCAGGCGGGAAGGCAAGUUGGAAGUGAAAUCCAUGGGCUCAACCCAUGAACUGCUUUCAAAACUGUUUUUCUUGAGUAGUGCAGAGGUAGGCGGAAUUCCCGGUGUAGCGGUGGAAUGCGUAGAUAUCGGGAGGAACACCAGUGGCGAAGGCGGCCUACUGGGCACCAACUGACGCUGAGGCUCGAAAGUGUGGGUAGCAAACAGGAUUAGAUACCCUGGUAGUCCACACUGUAAACGAUGAUUACUAGGUGUUGGAGGAUUGACCCCUUCAGUGCCGCAGUUAACACAAUAAGUAAUCCACCUGGGGAGUACGACCGCAAGGUUGAAACUCAGAGGAAUUGACGGGGGCCCGCACAAGCAGUGGAGUAUGUGGUUUAAUUCGACGCAACGCGAAGAACCUUACCAAGUCUUGACAUCCUGCGACGCACAUAGAAAUAUGUGUUUCCUUCGGGACGCAGAGACAGGUGGUGCAUGGUUGUCGUCAGCUCGUGUCGUGAGAUGUUGGGUUAAGUCCCGCAACGAGCGCAACCCUUAUGGUCAGUUACUACGCAAGAGGACUCUGGCCAGACUGCCGUUGACAAAACGGAGGAAGGUGGGGAUGACGUCAAAUCAUCAUGCCCUUUAUGACUUGGGCUACACACGUACUACAAUGGCGUUAAACAAAGAGAAGCAAGACCGCGAGGUGGAGCAAAACUCAGAAACAACGUCCCAGUUCGGACUGCAGGCUGCAACUCGCCUGCACGAAGUCGGAAUUGCUAGUAAUCGCAGAUCAGCAUGCUGCGGUGAAUACGUUCCCGGGCCUUGUACACACCGCCCGUCA